UACGUAGGGAGCAAGCGUUGUCCGGAAUCAUUGGGCGUAAAGCGCGCGUAGGUGGCCUCAUAAGUCCGCUGUGAAAGUCAAAGGCUCAACCUUUGAAAGCCGGUGGAUACUGUGAGGCUAGAGUACGGAAGAGGCGAGUGGAAUUCCUGGUGUAGCGGUGGAAUGCGCAGAUAUCAGGAGGAACACCAAUAGCGAAGGCAGCUCGCUGGGGGUGUGCUGACGCUGAGACACGAAAGCCAGGGGAGCGAACGGG
rnacentral:rRNA from 1 species